ensembl:ncRNA H22K11.5 ncRNA
UGUGGUCAUUGGGAGUAAACUCACUUGGGAAGCAUUUUGCACAACAAUAGGCGUCUAUUUUUAGACCACUGAGCAUAGGAUGCUGGUCGAUCGUGAUACGAAUAAUGUCUUCUCAUCUUUCUAUGUAGUUUUUACUCGCCCUGAACGUCU